CGAGGACACAACCCCUCCCCUUUCUGCAUGUGUCUAGUCAGGGAGUGGACCGCCAGUUGGAGCCAGAGACUCUAGCUUCUUUCACAUAUGGCUCAGAAAGCUCAGUGUGGCGAAAGGGGAUUUGCUGCUUCCCCUGUUCGUCACAGCAACUCUGCUGACUGCCUAUGGAGAAGUGAGACCGCCUGCCAGGUUCCUGACUCCGUGUAUCUCAGACUUGGCCUGAGUCCACCAUCACUGCCAUACUGAUCUUUGGACCCCAGGGU
ensembl:lncRNA